rnacentral:rRNA from 1 species
AUUGAACGCUGGCGGCAGGCCUAACACAUGCAAGUCGAGCGAGAGGCGGACGGGGGAGUAAUGUAGGGGGAUCUGCCCGAUAGAGGGGGAUAAAUACCGGAAACGGUGGCUAAUACCGCAUACUAUGGGAUGAAACCAUAUGGGAUUAGCUAGUAGGUGGGGAAAAGGCUACCCUAGGCGAGGAUCUCUAGCUGGUCUGAGAGGAUGAUCUGCCACACUGGGACUGAGACACGGCCCAGACUCCUACGGGAGGCAGCAGUGGGGAAUAUUGCACAAUGGGCGCAAGCCUGAUGCAGCCAUGCCGCGUGUAUGAAGAAGGCCUUAGGGUUGUAAAGUACUUUCAGCGGGGAGGCGUUACCCGCAGAAGAAGCACCGGCUAACUUCGUGCCAGCAGCCGCGGUAAUAC